AAGAUUGCACAAGGGUCGAAAGCCUGAUGCAGCAACGCCGCGUGAGUGAAGAAAGACUUCCGGUCGUAAAGCUUUUUGUUCAGGGAUGAGAAUGACAGUACCUGAAAAACAAGCCACGGCUAACUACAUGCCAGAGGCCGCGGUAAUACGUAGGUGGCGGGCGUUGUCCGGAAUUACUGGGCGUAAAGGAUGCGUAGGUGGAUACUUAAGUGGGAUGUGAAAGCCCCGGGCUCAACCCGGGAACUGCAUUCCAAACUGGGUAUCUAGAGUGCAGGAGAGGAAAGCGGAAUUCCUAGUGUAGCGGUGAAAUGCGUAGAUAUUAGGAGGAACACCAGUGGCGAAGGCGGCUUUCUGGACUGUAACUGACACUGAGGCAUGGAAGCGUGGGUAGCAAACAGG
rnacentral:rRNA from 1 species